GAUGAACGCUGGCGGCGUGCCUAGUACAUGCAAGUCGAGCGAACAGACGAGGAGCUUGCUCCUCUGACGUUAGCGGCGGACGGGUGAGUAACACGUGGAUAACCUACCUCUAAGACUGGGAUAACUUCGGGAAACCGGAGCUAAUACCGGAUAAUAUAUUGAACCGCAUGGUUCAAUAGUGAAAGACGGUUUUGCUGUCACUUAUAGAUGGAUCCGCGCCGCAUUAGCUAGUUGGUAAGGUAACGGCUUACCAAGGCAACGAUGCGUAGCCGACCUGAGAGGGUGAUCGGCCACACUGGAACUGAGACACGGUCCAGACUCCUACGGGAGGCAGCAGUAGGGAAUCUUCCGCAAUGGGCGAAAGCCUGACGGAGCAACGCCGCGUGAGUGAUGAAGGUCUUCGGAUCGUAAAACUCUGUUAUUAGGGAAGAACAAAUGUGUAAGUAACUAUGCACGUCUUGACGGUACCUAAUCAGAAAGCCACGGCUAACUACGUG
rnacentral:rRNA from 1 species